GAUGAACGCUGGCGGCGUGCCUAAUACAUGCAAGUCGAGCGAACAGAUGAGGAGCUUGCUCCUCUGACGUUAGCGGCGGACGGGUGUGUCACAUGUGUAUACUCUACCUAUCAGACUGGGAUCAUUUCGGGAAACCGGCGAUAAUACCGGAUAAUAUAUUGAACCGCAUGGUUCAAUAGUGAAAGUCGGUUUUUCUGUCACUUCUCGAUGGAUCCGGGCCGAAUUAGGUGGUUGGUAAGGUAAAGGCUUACCAAGGCAACGAGGCGUAGCCGACCUGAGAGGCGGGUCGCCGGCACUGGAACUUAGACACGGUCCAGACGCCUACGGGAGGCAGCAGUAGGGAAUCUGACGCAAUGGUCGAAAGCCUGACGGAGCAACGCCGCGUGAGUUAUGAAAGUCUUCGGAUCGGAAAACUCUGUUAUGAGGGAAGAACAAAUGUGUAAUUAACUAUGCACUGCUUGACGGUACCGGGUCAGAAAGCCACGGCUAACUACGUG
rnacentral:rRNA from 1 species